rnacentral:rRNA from 1 species
GUGGGGAAUUGUUCGCAAUGGGCGCAAGCCUGACGACGCAACGCCGCGUGGGGGAUGAAGGUCUUCGGAUUGUAAACCCCUGUUGGGUGGGACGAACAUCUUCGUGGUGAAUAGCCACGGUGACUGACGGUACCACCUGAGGAAGCCCCGGCUAACUCUGUGCCAGCAGCCGCGGUAAUACAGAGGGGGCAAGCGUUGUUCGGAAUUACUGGGCGUAAAGGGCGCGUAGGCGGCCUGUUAAGUCGGACGUGAAAUCCCUCGGCUCAACCGGGGAACUGCGUCUGAUACUGGCGGGCUUGAAUUCGGGAGAGGGAUGUGGAAUUCCAGGUGUAGCGGUGAAAUGCGUAGAUAUCUGGAGGAACACCGGUGGCGAAGGCGGCAUCCUGGACCGACAUUGACGCUGAGGCGCGAAAGCCAGGGGAGCAAACGGGAUUAGAAACCCUAGUAGUCC